UACAGAGGGUGCAAGCGUUAUUCGGAAUUACUGGGCGUAAAGCGCGUGUAGGCGGUUUGGUAAGUUUGACGUGAAAGCCCCCGACUCAAUCGGGGAAGAGCAUCGGAUACUGCCAGACUAGAGUUCAGGAGGGGAGGACGGAAUUCCUGGUGUAGAGGUGAAAUUCGUAGAUAUCAGGAGGAACAACGGUGGCGAAGGCGGUUCUCUGGACUGACACUGACGCUUAGACGCGAAAGCGUGGGGAGCAAACAGG
rnacentral:rRNA from 1 species